ACGGGAGGCAGCAGCUAAGAAUAUUCCGCAAUGGACGAAAGUCUGACGGAGCGACGCCGCGUGGAUGAUGAAGGUCGGAAGAUUGUAAAAUCCUUUUAUAACUGAGGAAUAAGUACUGUCAGGGAAAGGCAGUAUGGUGACUGUAGGUUAUGAAUAAGCAACGGCUAAUUACGUGCCAGCAGCCGCGGUAACACGUAAGUUGCGAGCGUUGUUCGGAAUUAUUGGGCGUAAAGGGCAUGUAGGCGGUUUUGCAAGCUUGGUGUGAAAUCCCGGAGCUCAACUCCGGAAUUGCGUUGAGAACUGCAUAACUAGAGUCACUGAGGGGCGGGCAGAAUUCCAGGUGUAGGGGUGAAAUCUGUAGAUAUCUGGAAGAAUACCAAUGGCGAAGGCAGCCUGCCAGCAGAUGACUGACGCUGAGGUGCGAAGGUGCGGGGAGCAAACAGGAUUAGAUACCCUGGUA
rnacentral:rRNA from 1 species